CCGCUGUCAUCCUUGCGCCUCGACCUCCUGCUGCCUGCUGGUGAGCUGCCUCCAUCCCACCCCAUAGCAGUGCUGUGCUCACCCCAUAGCAGUGCUGACCCCAAUGCAGUGCUGUGCUCACCCCAUAGCAGUGCCCGACCCCAAAGCAGUCCUGUGCUCACCCCAUAGCAGUGCUGACCCCAUAGCAGUGCUGUGCUCACCCCAAUGCAGUGCUGUGCUCACCCCAUAGCAGUGCCCGACCCCAAAGCAGUCCUGUGCUCACCCCAUAGCAGCGCUGACCCAAUAGCAGUGCUGUGCUCACCCCAUAGCAGUGCUCACCCCAUAGCGGUGCUGUGCUCACCCCAUAGCAGUGCUGCCCCCAUAGCAGUGCUGUGC
rnacentral:lncRNA from 1 species